GACGAACCGUACGAACGUUAUUCGGAAUCACUGGGCUUAAAGGGUGCGUAGGCGGCGCGACAAGUUGGGUGUGAAAUCCCUCGGCUCAACCGAGGAACUGCGCCCAAAACUGUCGUGCUCGAGGGAGACAGAGGUGAGCGGAACUUAGGGUGGAGCGGUGAAAUGCGUUGAUAUCCUAAGGAACACCGGUGGCGAAAGCGGCUCACUGGGUCGCGUCUGACGCUGAGGCACGAAAGCUAGGGGAGCGAACGGG
rnacentral:rRNA from 1 species